rnacentral:rRNA from 1 species
AUUGAACGCUGGCGGCAGGCCUAACACAUGCAAGUCGAACGGUAACAGGAAACAGCUUGCUGUUUCGCUGACGAGUGGCGGACGGGUGAGUAAUGUCUGGGAAACUGCCUGAUGGAGGGGGAUAACUACUGGAAACGGUAGCUAAUACCGCAUAACGUCGCAAGACCAAAGAGGGGGACCUUCGGGCCUCUUGCCAUCGGAUGUGCCCAGAUGGGAUUAGCUAGUAGGUGGGGUAACGGCUCACCUAGGCGACGGUCCCUAGCUGGUCUGAGAGGAUGACCAGCCACACUGGAACUGAGACACGGUCCAGACUCCUACGAGAGGCAGCAGUGGGGAAUAUUGCACAAUGGGCGCAAGCCUGAUGCAGCCAUGCCGCGUGUAUGAAGAAGGCCUUCGGGUUGUAAAGUACUUUCAGCGGGGAGGAAGGGAGUAAAGUUAAUACCUUUACUCAUUGACGUUACCCGCAGAAGAAGCACCGGCUAACUCCGUG